CACACUGUGUGGUAGGUAGCUUGGAAGGCAGGUCCCAGUGACCCUCCCUCCUUCUCACGCCCUUGUGGGAUCCCUUCCUGUUGAUUUGACUUGGAUGUCACUUCCAACAUUAGAAGCCAACUACCACACUGACUCAUGGACACAGCUGACUCAUGGACACAGGGCAAGAAACAGAGGCUUCGGCCAACAGCCAGUGAGGAAGCGAGCCUGUCUAACAGCCUGUGAGGUACAGAGAGUCCUGCCAGCAACCAUUUGAGGGGGUUCGAGUUUGGACCUUCUCCCAGAUGAGUGCUCAGUGUAAAACAGAACAAAAGUAGAGUGGAUUAUGGGCUACUUGUCUGGAAACAACAUAAAACAAGAAAAGGAGGACCUCUGGGUACAACUGGUCGGCACUGGAUCUCAUUUUGGAAGGACUGAGGUUGGCAGAUUUAGCAUCACAUACUGAAAUUCGUUCUUCUGAAACACAGUAUAGAACAAGUGUGUUACAGAAAUGCAGACUACCAAGAAAUACGGAAAAAAGAUGUUCUAGCUUACUCAUAAGUUAACACAAAUUAAAACAACCAGAUUCCAUUUUUCAUCUAUCAGAAUGGCAAAAGUUAAAGAAUUAGGCAAAACAUGUUGUGGUAAUUGUCACUAUUAACUGAGAUUGCACAGUCUAAAACCAUGGGAAUAAAACCUAUUUCUGUUUAUGGACAUGCAUAUGUAAGGAUCUCCAAGACAUGUUAAUUCUAAUCAGUGUCUACAUGCUGCUCAUUGCCUUCCAUAACGAAAGGAGUUAAGUCCCAUUUUUGAAGUUUAAAACUUUCAUAUGGUUCUGAUGGGCUGAUUAAUGGUCCCUUAAGGAUAUCUAUAUCCCCAGAGCCUGUUACUAUAUGUAGGAAAAGUGACUCUGCAGUUGCGAACAAUUUCAAGAACUUGGGUAGGAAACUUUUCCUGAAUUAGCCAUGUGACCUAAUAUAAUCACGUGGGCUUUUGUAAGAGGGACUCAAGGAGUCAGAGUUAGGUAGCCCUAUGAUGAAGAAGAGGCAGAGACAGAAGACACUAUGCUACCAGCUUUGAAGAUGGAAUAAAGGGUCACAGGUCAAAGAACAUGACUUUUCUAGAAGUUAGCAAAGGUAAGGGAUUGGACUCUCCCCUGGAGCCUCCAGAAGGAAACAGUCCUGCCAGAAUCUUAAGAUAUUUCAGACUUUGGAUCUCCAUAAUUUCAAGAGAAUAAAUAUAUUUUAUUUUAAGGCACUGUGUGAUGAUUUGUUAUAGCAGCAAUAGGGAACUAAUACAGGUGCUUUGAAAAACAUCAUGAAUUAAAAUGACUAAAAACAGGCUAUUAAGAUAUAAAUUAAAUACACUAUUAUAAGAAGUUAAAAAAGAAGGUGAUUAUAAUGCUU